rnacentral:lncRNA from 10 species
GUUUCAUUUCCUUGUCUCUUUGUAUUGCCUAAGACCUUCGGUACAAUGAAGGUUAGAAAUAAUAAUGGGCAUCUCUGCUGCAUUUCUGACUUUAAAAGAAUAGAUUCUAAGGCUCACAAUUAACAGUGCAUACCUCCUGGGAACAUGUUACCAAAAGUUAGAAGGCCAAAUUCCCUCAGCCUCUAUCCAGCAUCACAAAUAACUUCAAUGAGAACCAUAGGAACAUCGAGUGUCCUGUGAAUCUGAGAACUGCAAUGGGCCCUAGGGGCUCUUCCAUCCAGGCUUAUCAUGAUUCAGGAGAAGAAAUUGAGGACCGAAGACAUCAAAUAUAAUAAGCUAAUGGAGGAACUGAGGCUACUUGCCUGGCUCCAGUGCUCUUUCCUUUGCCUCAAAAUCUUUACAGGUCAGCCAUCUAUCAUGUGUAGAAUAAGCAAACUGAAUUAACAUUGGAAAUAUUAAAAGAACAGAGGUUGCGUGGAUAUUGGUUGGAACAGAGAAGAAGUUUUCACAAGGAAUUAAAGUAACACCAGCUGCUCACUGCUCUGACUUAAACCAUACAGCAACUCCAGAAACAUGGGGGGUGUUGUUGAGUGGCAAGGUAAGCUCAAGAAUGCUAAAUGUGUCUGAAGGCAAAGGGGAUUAUUUGUCAUUGGCCUUCUGACUCAAAAAAGCCAACAUAUAUAUAUAUAUCUCAAAACCUACUGAUAAGCAGAAAGAAUAUAGGGCUGUUAUACUUGGUUGGCAUCACUUUGUUCAGAAAGCAAGAAGGCAGCUGCAUUCCACACUGACCAAAACUAUUAUAUCAGGUUGUGCUUCUCUUAGUCUUAGGUGUCUUCUCGUAGGACUGUUUUAAAAUUCAACACGAGGGGAGAGGGAACAAGCUAGACACAGAGAAAAUAGUUAUAUAUUUAGAGGACUGUGAGAUCUUAAUAAAAUUUAACCGUAUGGGGGCUCUAUUGCAUUUACCAUUCAUUCAACAAAAGUUACUGAUUGCCCAUUAUGUACUAGGCCCUGGUCUAGGCACAUGGAAUACACAGAUGAAUAAAUAUGUUCACUGUCCAUUACUUUCUCAAAAGUUGAGGGGCCAGAAAACUAAAAUGAAAUGAGACAGACACUACUGGGGCUCAGGCUGGGUUGAGGGGAGGGCCUUCAACCCUGCCUUGCUAUAUUAGCAAAGGCUUCUAGGAGAGGAGUUGAGGCCUUUUCACGCUUUUUGAAGGAAAGAUCGUGUUAAUCAAGUAAAUUAGAGAAAAGACAUUCCUAGUGGAAGAAACAACCAUGUCAAACUUCAAAGAAUGAUCAGGAAACUAUAAUAAAUGUAUUCUUUCUCUAGUGCAUAUUGUUGAUGAGUAUUUGGAGCAAGACACAGGUGUGUGCCAUUCUGCACUUACUUGGUAAUUAAGUGAAAAAAAUCUAAAACUGAAAAUUUAAGAGUAGAUUUUCAAGUAUUGUUUCAAAAGUUCAAACAAUAUUAACAAACUCAGUGUCUCACCCCACCUAUUGGCUUUGCUUUUCGUUUUAUUGACCCAUUUUCCAGUAAGCUGUCUACUUAAAGAGACUGGUAGCUUGAGACUUAAGUAAUCAGAACAGAUAAUAAUCCUACAAAAAAAAAAAAGAGUUUUAUUCUAAUAGUUCCAGCAAGUCUUGAGAUUGCAUCUCAUUGAGCUGGCUUCAGUCACAUCACAUUCCUGAACUAAGGCCCUGGUAGUACAAAGCUCAAUCCUAUCAUCUUGACUGUCCUCUUCAGAGAAGAGAUUUUCUUCUCUUCUCUGCACCUCCGUCUAACCUGUACUAAAGUUAUCAUUAGUUUUUCCUUAAAUUAGAGAAUCCAAACACAUCAAACUCAUGCAAAAUAAUGAUGCCAGUUCCCUUCCUUACAUUACACACACAAAAAAUUAACUCAAAAUGGAUUAUAUACCUAAAUGUGAGAGUCAAAACUAUAAAACUCUUACAAGGAAACAUAGGGGUAAAUCUUUGUGCCCUUGAGUUAGGCAAAGCCUUCUUAGAAAUGACACUAAAAGCGUAAGCAACAAAAGAAAAUAGAUAAAUUUGACUUCAUCAAAGUUUAAAAGUUUUAUAAUACAAGUAAUACUAUUAAGACAAAUGAUCGCACAGAGAAUAGGAGAAAAUAUUUGGAAAUCAUAUAACACAUGUGACAAGAGACAUGUAUCCAGAAUAUAUAGAGAACUCCUACAAUUGAAUAAUAAAGGAUAAUUAAUCCAAUAUUUAAAUGGGCAAAGAAUCAGAGUAGACAUUUCUCUAAGGAAGGCAUAUGAAUAACCAAUAAGCUCAAGAGAAGAUGCUUACAAUGAUCAUUCAUUAAGGAAAUGCUAACUAAAACCACAAGAUACCACUUCACAAAGCCACUAUAGAGUGGCUAAUAACAAGAAUCGUAGAGGAUGUGGAGAAAUUGAAACUCUCAUGCAUUGCCACUGGGAAUGUAAAAUGUUGGAGCCACUUUGGAAGACAGAUUGGUGGUUCCUCAAAAGUUGAACAUGGAGUUACCUUAUGACCUGGCAAUCCCACUCCUAGGUACAUACUCAAAAGAAUUGAAAACAGGUACUCAAACAAAUACAUAUGCAAUCAUAGUCAUAGCAGCACUAUUCACAAUAUCCAAAAGGUAUAAAUAACCCACAUUUCAAUCCAUUGAUGACCUGAUAAACAAAAUGUAGUAUAUCCCUCCAACGGCCUGUUGUUUGACAAUAAAAAGGAAUGAAGAAUUGAUCAUAGUACAACAUGAAUGAACCUUGAAAACAUUAUACUAAGUGAAAGAAACAAGUCACAAAAGACCACAUAUUAGAUUAUUCCAUUUAUAUAAGACAUUGAGAAUAGGCAAAGCUAUAGAGAUGGAAAGUGGAUUAGUGGUUGCCAAGGGCUUGAGGGAUGGGGAGGGAUUAGGAGUGACUGCUGGUGGAUAGUUCAUUGCUUUUUGAAGUGAUGAAGAUAUUCUAAAAUUAAUUAGAUUCUGGGGGUUGUCACACAAUCCUGUCAAUAUAUUAAUAUCAUUGAAUUAUUAUAUACUUUAAAUGGAUGAGUGGUAUAGCAUGUGAAUUUUGCCUCAAUAAAGCUGUCUAGUGAAACACAGUAUAGACAAAGUAUUUGAAUAGGAAUUUUCCCAAAGAAAGUAUGCAAAAAAAGCCAACAAGCACAUAAAAAGAGGUUAAACAUUGGUCACUAAAGAAAUGCAAAUCAGUCCUGUUGUAGUGGCUCAUGACUGUAAUCCCACACUUUGGGAGGCAGAGGCGGGUGGAUCACUUGAGGCCAGGAGUUCAAGACCAGCCUGGCCAAUGUGUUGAAACCCCAUCUCUACUAAAAAUACAAAAUUAGCCAGGUGUGGUGGCGGGUGUCUGUAAUCCCAGCUACUCGAGAAGCUGAGGCAGGAGAAUCGCUUGAACUCGGGAGGCGGAGGUUGCUGUGAGCCAAGAUAGGGUCAUUGUACUCCAGCCUAGGCAAAGAGCAAAACUCCAUCGAGAAAGAGAAAGAAAGAAAGAGAGAAAGAGAGAAAGAAAGAAGGGAGGGAGGGAAGGAAGGAAGGAAGGAAGGAAGAGAAAGAAAUGCAAAUCAGAACCACAAGGAGAUAUCACUUCACACUCACUAGGAGGGCUAUGUUUUUUUUGUUUUGUUUUGUUUUGUUUUGUUUUUGAGACAGAGUCUCACUCUGUCACCGAGGCUGGAGUGCAGUGGCACGAUCUCGGCUCACUGCAAGCUCCAUAGGAGGGCUAUGAUUUUAAAAAUGGAAAGUAACACGUUUGGCAAAAAUGUGGAGCAAUAGGGAAGUUUGUACAUUGCUGGUGGGAAUAUAAAAUGGUGCAGCCAUUGUGAAAAUAGUUUGGCAACUCCUCAAAAAAUUAAAUACAGAAUUCUCAUUUGACCCAAUAAUUCCAUUCCUAGGAACAUAAGAGAAAUGAAAACAUAUGUCCACACAGAGACUUGUACAUGGACAUUUAUAGCAGCACUAUUCACAAUAGCCAAAAGAUGGGAAAAACCCCAAAUGCCCAUCAAUGGAUGAAAGGAUAAACAAAUCAUAUUAUAUACAUACAAUGAAAUAUUAUUCAGCCCUGAAAAGGAAUAAAGUCCUGAUACAUGCUACAUACCUGAUAGGAGUCCUGAUACAUGAAUCUCAAAAACAUUAUGCUAAGCAAAAGAAGCCAGACAAAAGGCCACAUAUUGUAUGAUUCCUUGUAUUUGGAAUACUCAGAAUAGGCAAAUCCAUAGAGACACAAAGCUGAUUAGCGGAGGAGGAAUAGAGAAUGAUUGCUUAAUGAAUGUAAGGUAUUUUGUGGUGUAAUGAAAAAGUUUUAAAACUAGAGAAAAACGGCCAUUGUACAGCAUUGUGAAUGCACCAAAUGCCCCUGAAUUAUCUACUUUAAAAGUUAAUUGAAUGUUAUUUGAAUUUCAGCUCUGUUUUUACAUCAGACUCAAAACAUAACAAAAAUCUAAUCUUCUCAUUUAGAGGUCACCCCAUAAACAUCAGGACAAAAUCCCAAUAACUUAUAUUGGCAUUCAAGUCCCUUCACAACUUGGCCUAAACUUAUAUCCUCCCCCUGAUCUCCACCACUUCCCACAAGUCCUCUAUAUUCUAGCCACAUGUUUCUCUCAUAACUCUUCUUUGAAAUGUCUUUCCACAACAGCUUUGCAUAUGCUGCUCUGCUUCCCCAUCUAGACCAUGAGCAUCUCAAAGGCAGAAACAACAUUUAAUUCAUCUUUGCAUCCCAACAGCCUAACCCUGAGUCUGGCAUUUAGUGGACACUUAAUGAAUGUUUGCUGAAUCGAAUUGAAUGUGCAUGGAAACUCUGGGAAAAAUCCUCCAGAAUCCUUCAGAUGGUGAAUGUGCAGUGAAGAGGUGGAAUGAGGCAAUUCCCUCAAAUUACAAAUUCACCUAUUUUGUUAAGAAAACAUUAAGAUGGAUAUCUUUUAUUUUUCUGUGUGAAAAUAAAGAAAAAAGAAUGCUGAA